UCACGAAAAGCCCUAAAUCUACCAUUCUUGAGAUUUCUUCACAAAUAUUGUAUGUUUUUUGCUCGAAUCAGAGGGUUUUGAAGGAAAUCGUUUUCUACAGAUGAUUGUAGUAAUUUUUUUUUGUGAUCAGCAAAUAUUGGGGGUUAAUUUUUGAAUGAAUCAGAGGUUUCAUGAAGAAUAGUUGGCGAAAAAAUAGAUUCCACCAAUCUUGAUAUCUGAAUCGAUAUGGGCGAAAGUUUUUCUUGAAAAUAGAGGGGGUUUGCUUGUAAUCCUGAUCUUCAUAAGCGAUUGCAGGAUUUUUGCUUGAUUUGGUCGAUUUUUCAUGAAAUCAGAGGAAUUUUGUGAAGAACAGUUGACGGAAGAAAAAAUAUUGCCAAUCUUGAGAUCUUGAUCGAUAUAGGCCAAAUUUUUUCUUGAAAACAGAGGCGUUUUGUUGGUGAUCCUGAUCUUCAUAAGCUAUUGCUAGCUUUUGUAAGAUCAAGCAACACCAGUUGCACAACUUUGCAAGAAAUCG
rnacentral:lncRNA from 1 species